UACGGAGGGUGCAAACGUUGCUCGGAAUCAUUGGGCGUAAAGCGCACGUAGGCGGUCCAGCAAGUCGGGUGUGAAAGCCCUCGGCUUAACCGAGGAAGUGCAUUCGAAACUACUGGACUUGAGUACUGAAGAGGGUCGCGGAAUUCCCGGUGUAGAGGUGAAAUUCGUAGAUAUCGGGAGGAACACCAGUGGCGAAGGCGGCGACCUGGGCAGAUACUGACGCUGAGGUGCGAAAGCGUGGGGAGCAAACAGG
rnacentral:rRNA from 1 species